AGAGUUUGAUCAUGGCUCAGGACGAACGCUGGCGGCGUGCCUAAUACAUGCAAGUCGAGCGGUUGAAGCCUUCGGGCGGAGAUAGCGGCGGACGGGUGAGUAACACGUAGGUAACCUGCCUAACAGACUGGGAUAACUACCGGAAACGGUAGCUAAGACCGGAUACGUCAAUUUUGGGGCAUCCCGAGAUUGAGAAAAGCGGAGCAAUCUGCUGCUGAUAGAUGGACCUGCGGCGCAUUAGCUAGUUGGUGAGGUAGCGGCUCACCAAGGCGACGAUGCGUAGCCGACCUGAGAGGGUGAACGGCCACACUGGGACUGAGACACGGCCCAGACUCCUACGGGAGGCAGCAGUAGGGAAUCUUCGGCAAUGGACGAAAGUCUGACCGAGCAACGCCGCGUGAGUGAUGAAGGUUUUCGGAUCGUAAAACUCUGUUGCCAGGGAAGAAUGGUUGUGGGAGUAACUGCCCAUGGCAUGACGGUACCUGAGAAGAAAGCCCCGGCUAACUACGUGCCAGCAGCCGCGGUAAUACGUAGGGGGCAAGCGUUGUCCGGAAUUAUUGGGCGUAAAGCGCGCGCAGGCGGUCAAGUAAGUCUGGUGUAUAAACCAAGGGCUCAACCUUUGGACGCAUUGGAAACUGUUUGACUGGAGUGUAGGAGAGGAAAGUGGAAUUCCACGUGUAGCGGUGAAAUGCGUAGAGAUGUGGAGGAACACCAGUGGCGAAGGCGACUUUCUGGCCUAUAACUGACGCUGAGGCGCGAAAGCGUGGGGAGCAAACAGGAUUAGAUACCCCAGUAGUCC
rnacentral:rRNA from 1 species